UACGGAGGGGGCUAGCGUUGUUCGGAAUUACUGGGCGUAAAGCGCGCGUAGGCGGACCUGCAAGUCGGGGGUGAAAGCCCGAGGCUCAACCUCGGAACUGCCUUCGAUACUGCGGGUCUCGAGUCCGGGAGAGGUGAGUGGAAUUCCCGGUGUAGAGGUGAAAUUCGUAGAUAUCGGGAGGAACACCGGUGGCGAAGGCGGCGACCUGGGUAGAUACUGACGCUGAGGUGCGAAAGCGUGGGGAGCAAACAGG
rnacentral:rRNA from 1 species